ACCUAGCUGGCUCAGUUGGUAGAGCAUGUGACUUUUAAUCUCAGGGUCAUGAGUUCAGGUGCCAUACUGGGUG
rnacentral:tRNA from 1 species